CGGCAACAGCUCAAAUUUGAAAUCUGGCUCUUUCAGAGUCCGAGUUGUAAUUUGCAGAGGGCGCUUUGGCUUUGGCAGCGGUCCAAGUUCCUUGGAACAGGACGUCACAGAGGGUGAGAAUCCCGUACGUGGUCGCUAGCUAUUGCCGUGUAAAGCCCCUUCGACGAGUCGAGUUGUUUGGGAAUGCAGCUCUAAAUGGGAGGUAAAUUUCUUCUAAAGCUAAAUAUUGGCCAGAGACCGAUAGCGCACAAGUAGAGUGAUCGAAAGAUGAAAAGCACUUUGGAAAGAGAGUCAAACAGCACGUGAAAUUGUUGAAAGGGAAGCGCUUGCAGCCAGACUUGCUUGCAGUUGCUCAUCCGGGCUUUUGCCCGGUGCACUCUUCUGCAGGCAGGCCAGCAUCAGUUUGGGCGGUGGGAUAAAGGUCUCUGUCACGUACCUUCCUUCGGGUUGGCCUUAUAGGGGAGACGCCAUACCACCAGCCUGGACUGAGGUCCGCGCAUCUGCUAGGAUGCUGGCGUAAUGGCUGUAAGCGGCCCGUCUUGAAACACGGACCAAGGAGUCUAACAUCUAUGCGAGUGUUUGGGUGUCAAGCCCGAGCGCGUAAUGAAAGUGAACGGAGGUGGGAACCCGCAAGGGUGCACCAUCGACCGAUCCUGAAGUUUACGGAAGGAUUUGAGUAAGAGCAUGGCUGUUGGGACCCGAAAGAUGGUGAACUAUGCUUGAAUAGGGUGAAGCCAGAGGAAACUCUGGUGGAGGCUCGCAGCGGUUCUGACGUGCAAAUCGAUCGUCAAAUUUGGGCAUAGGGGCGAAAGACUAAUCGAACUAUCUAGUAGCUGGUUCCUGCCGAAGUUCCCUCAGGAUAGCAGUAACGUAUUCAGUUUUAUGAGGUAAAGCGAAUGAUUAGAGGCAUGGGGGUUGAAACAACCUUCACCUAUUCUCAAACUUUAAUAUGUAAGAAACCCUUUGUUACUUAAUUGAACGCGGGCUUUUAAUGAAACGUUAUUAUUGGGCCAUUUUUUGGAAGCAAAAAUGGCGAUGCGGGAUGAACCAAACAAAGGGUUACCUGGCCGGAGAAACCCCUCUUCAAACACCACAAAGGGUGUGUUUUCUAAAAACCAGGAGGGGGCCUUGGAAGCCGAACCCCUUACGAGGGGAGACAACCACCUCGCGGAGAAAAACCCGAAAAGAAGGGGUCAGGGGGCCUUUUCCUCUCCCCGCGGAAUAUUCUCCCGCAG
rnacentral:rRNA from 1 species